AUUGAACGCUGGCGGCAUGCCUAACACAUGCAAGUCGAACGAGUGGCGGACGGGUGAGUAAUGUCUGGGAAACUGCCUGAUGGAGGGGGAUCACUACUGGAAACGGUAGCUAAUACCGCAUACCAUCGGAUGUGCCCAGAUGGGAUUAGCUAGUAGGUGGGGUAAAGGCUCACCUAGGCGACGAUCCCUAGCUGGUCUGAGAGGAUGACCGGCCACACGGGAACUGAGACACGGUCCAGACUCCUACGGGAGGCAGAAGUGGGGAAUAUUGGACAAUGGGGGAAAGCCUGAUGCAGCAAUGCCGGGUGUAUGAAGAAGGCCUUCGGGUUGUAAAGCCCUUUUGUUGGGAAAGCGGUACCCAAAGAAUAAGCACCGGCUAACUUCGUGCCAGCAGCCGCGGUAAUAC
rnacentral:rRNA from 1 species